UACGAAGGGGGCUAGCGUUGCUCGGAAUCACUGGGCGUAAAGGGCGCGUAGGCGGCCAGCACAAGUCAAUUGUGAAAUCUCCGGGCUUAACCCGGAAAGGUCAGCCGAUACUGCGGGGCUAGAGUGCAGAAGGGGCAACUGGAAUUCUCGGUGUAGCGGUGAAAUGCGUAGAUAUCGAGAGGAACACCUGCGGCGAAGGCGGGUUGCUGGGCUGACACGUGACGCUGGAGGCGCGAAAGCUAGGGUAGCAAACGGG
rnacentral:rRNA from 1 species